GGCAGCAGCGGAGGAUUAGAGACAAUGUGGGCAACCCUGAUCCAACCAUGCCGCGUGAGUGAAGAAGGCGUGAGGGUUGUAAAGCUCUUUCACCCUGAAAGAAAUCGGCGCCUAACACAUAGGCGUCGGAUGACGGUACCGGACCAACAAGCUCCGGCUACCUACGUGCCAGCAGCCGCGGUAAUUCAUAGGGAGCGAGCGUCAUCGGAAUUUCUGGGCGUAAAGGGUGCGCAGGAGGUCUUGUAAGACAGAUGUGAAAUCCCCGGGCUUAACCUGGGAACUGAGUUAGUUUCUGCAAGGCUGGAGUACGGCAGAGGGGGGUGGAAUUCCUGGCGUAUCAGUGAAAUGGAAAGAUAUCAGGAGGAACACCAAUGGCGAAGGCAGCCCCAUGGGCCUGUACUGACGCUCAUGCACGAAAGCGAGGGGAGCAAACAAAAUAAGAUUCAAUGGUAGUCCACGCCAUAAACGAUGUCGACUAGUUGUUUGGAGCAGCAAUGCAGUGAGUAACGGAGCUAACGCGUGAAGUCGCCCGCCUGGGGAGUACGGCCCCAAGGUUAAAACUCAAAAGAAUUGAUG
rnacentral:rRNA from 1 species